rnacentral:rRNA from 1 species
GACGAACGCUGGCGGCGUGCUUAACACAUGCAAGUCGAGCGGUAAGGCUCCUUCGGGAGUACACGAGCGGCGAACGGGUGAGUAACACGUGAGCAAUCUGCCCUUCACUUCGGGAUAACCCUCGGAAACGAGAGCUAAUACCGAAUACGACCACCUCAGGCAUCUGAUGGUGGUGGAAAGUUCCGGCGGUGAAGGAUGAGCUCGCGGCCUAUCAGCUUGUUGGUGGGGUAACGGCCCACCAAGGCAACGACGGGUAGCCGGCCUGUGAGGGUGACCGGCCACGCUGGGACUGAGACACGGCCCAGACUCCUACGGGAGGCAGCAGUGGGGAAUAUUGGACAAUGGGCGAAAGCCUGAUCCAGCAACGCCGCGUGAGGGAUGACGGCCUUCGGGUUGUAAACCUCUUUCAGCAGGGACGAAGCGCAAGUGACGGUACCUGCAGAAGAAGCACCGGCCAACUACGUGCCAGCCGCCGCCGUAACAC